rnacentral:rRNA from 1 species
GGGUGAGUAACACGUGGGUAACCUGCCCAUCAGAAGGGGAUAACACUUGGAAACAGGUGCUAAUACCGUAUAACAAUCGAAACCGCAUGGUUUUGAUUUGAAAGGCGCUUUCGGGUGUCGCUGAUGGAUGGACCCGCGGUGCAUUAGCUAGUUGGUGAGGUAACGGCUCACCAAGGCCACGAUGCAUAGCCGACCUGAGAGGGUGAUCGGCCACAUUGGGACUGAGACACGGCCCAAACUCCUACGGGAGGCAGCAGUAGGGAAUCUUCGGCAAUGGACGAAAGUCUGACCGAGCAACGCCGCGUGAGUGAAGAAGGUUUUCGGAUCGUAAAACUCUGUUGUUAGAGAAGAACAAGGAUGAGAGUAACUGUUCAUCCCUUGACGGUAUCUAACCAGAAAGCCACGGCUAACUACGUGCCAGCAGCCGCGGUAAUACGUAGGUGGCAAGCGUUGUCCGGAUUUAUUGGGCGUAAAGCGAGCGCAGGCGGUUUCUUAAGUCUGAUGUGAAAGCCCCCGGCUCAACCGGGGAGGGUCAUUGGAAACUGGGAGACUUGAGUGCAGAAGAGGAGAGUGGAAUUCCAUGUGUAGCGGUGAAAUGCGUAGAUAUAUGGAGGAACACCAGUGGCGAA